UAACAAGUAAAAAACGCGUAAACAUGUUUAGAGAUGGUAAAUACAUGCUUACGGAGCGAGCUCUGAAAUUGGUGUUUCUGUAUUGUGAGCUAUGCAAUAUUUCAAUCAUAUAUUUUUGGCAUCGUUGUUAAUAUCUUUGUUGAAGUUGAGUUGAACAACAAAACAAGUGACUUGGAAUUAUAGGUAUCUCACACAUACAAACAUACUAUAGCCUAUAAGUCAUGUUCAGCCACACUUUGUUGUAAAUAUUCCUUGUAUAGUCUUUCCUAAAUAAAACAAAUAAAAACGAAACAAAUCUCGA